UACGGAGGGUGCAAGCGUUGCUCGGAAUUAUUGGGCGUAAAGGGUAGGUAGGUGGUCUUAUUUGUCUGGGGUGAAAGCCUUGAGCUUAACUCAAGAAGUGCCCCAGAAACGGUGAGACUAGAGUCCUGGAGAGGGUCGUGGAAUUCCCGGUGUAGCGGUGAAAUGCGUAGAGAUCGGGACGAACACCAGAGGCGAAGGCGGCGACCUGGACAGGUACUGACACUCAACUACGAAAGCGUGGGGAGCAAACAGG
rnacentral:rRNA from 1 species